GCGCCUGUAGCUCAGCUGGAUUAGAGCGUUCGCCUCCGAAGCGAGAGGUCGCAGGUUCGACUCCUGCCAGGCGCACCA
rnacentral:tRNA from 1 species